UACGGAGGGGGCAAGCGUUGUUCGGAAUUACUGGGCGUAAAGGGUGCGUAGGCGGUCCGCUAAGUUGGAUGUGAAAUCCUGGAGCUCAACUCCAGAACUGCCUUUGAUACUGGCGAUCUUGAGUCCGGGAGAGGUGAGUGGAACUCCGAGUGUAGAGGUGAAAUUCGUAGAUAUUCGGAAGAACACCAGUGGCGAAGGCGGCUCACUGGCCCGGUACUGACGCUGAGGUGCGAAAGCGUGGGGAGCAAACAGG
rnacentral:rRNA from 1 species